GACGAACGCUGGCGGCGUGCUUAACACAUGCAAGUCGAACGGAAAGGCCCUGCUUUUGUGGGGUGCUCGAGUGGCGAACGGGUGAGUAACACGUGAGUAACCUGCCCUUGACUUUGGGAUAACUUCAGGAAACUGGGGCUAAUACCGGAUAGGAGCUCCUGCUGCAUGGUGGGGGUUGGAAAGUUUCGGCGGUUGGGGAUGGACUCGCGGCUUAUCAGCUUGUUGGUGGGGUAGUGGCUUACCAAGGCUUUGACGGGUAGCCGGCCUGAGAGGGUGACCGGCCACAUUGGGAAUGAGAUACUGCCAAGACGCCUACGGGAGGAAGCAGUGAGGAAUAUUGCAAAAUGGGCGGAAGCCUGAUGCAGCAACGCCGCGUGCGGGAUGACGGCCUUCGGGUUGUAAACCGCUUUCGCCUGUGACGAAGCGUGAGUGACGGUAAUGGGUAAAGAAGCAACGGAUAACUACGUG
rnacentral:rRNA from 1 species